CCCCCAACUCCCCAGCCCCACUCCUCCGGGAUCCGUUUGGUACUUGCUCUUUUUUAGGUACAGAAACAGUUCUCCCAAAGUAAGUAGUGGAGGGCGUCCACUCCUCUUGGGACUGAAGUGCACAGCCGGGCAACCUGCUUAAAAGGGUGGUCUGUGGGUCCCAGGUGAUGGGGUUGGCCCUCCGCCCCGCUCCCACCACACACUCAUUAAACUACAGUCCACCUGGAUGCUGCAAGCCUGAGAAUCUCAGUCCCCCAUGAUCUGGAUUUGGCCGUUUCUCUGCUUGUUUUUUGUUGUUAAGGCACUGAAGGAUGUUGUUUUCUGUUGUUCAGGCACCAAGAAAGUUCCUGCCAAACUUGCCAGAAUAAUUCAGUGCUUGGUUCAACCUAUGCCGCUUGCAAGAGUUUCUGGGGAAGGCAGGCCCCUCACUCUCAUGCUCAUAUUCUGUCCGGAGGCUGGAAUGGGGUGGGGGGGAGAGGCUAGGGCUGGUCUCCAAGCCUGGGGCCGCCAGAACUCUGACGGGGAAACCGAGCCUCCUACCCACUCAAGAACAAUAAAGGCUUCCGGACUCUUAUUUCCGAGAGGGAGUGCAAGCAAGAGGGGGGGAGGGGUAAUCAGCUGACGAAUUAAUUUCUCAUAAUUGAGCACCGGUGAAGGGGCAACCUCGAACUGGAAACAAGCUUCUUAGCCCCCAAGUGGUCAUACCACUGACCUUUAGCUCGGAAAGCUUGUCUUUCGACGUACCCUAUUAAAACGCACGGCCUCUUGGGAUUUAAGCCUUUACAACAACUCGGGAGCGGUCAAGAGUGCAGUUACAGCUGGCAGGCCCGCAGUGCCCUGGAGAAGCACCGCGAAGGAAGACCCGGCGCCCUAACAGACUGGCCAAGGGCCACCCCUGUCCCCGGAGAUCCUUGUAGCCAUCCGAGUUGGUUAGACUGGCUAAUAACACAAGUCACAGUUCCCCAAGGUGAGUUGGCUCUUUACAGCCAGCAAGAGUGGAUGCAGCUCUGCUGACUUUUGAGCCUGGCAGAAGAUUCUAGAAUACCCGUGACUGCAGCUCACCUCUCUGUGACCCUGACAGUGGAGACAGGGGUUCAUCACCCUCCGUCUUCUCACCUGGUGAGACAACUCCCAGGCCUUUCCUUCCCUUGGGAGCAAACCUCACGUGGAAAGCACCUCUCUGAGUGGCGGAUGACACCUACGCCAGCCUCUGCCUGUGCUGCUUCUGGUUCUGCAGAGUUUGAGAGGCGAAAACCACAGUUGCCCGGGUACCUGGAAGCCAGUGUUUUGGAUACGAUUUUAAGUCUGUUAGAUGUACUUGCAUGAGAUGUGGAAAAUGGAAAUAAAAUGAACCGAGGCGAGACUGACAUCUGCUUCUUUCCAGGGGGGCCACAGUCCUGGAGGUGUUUGCUCCUCCUGUGGCAGCUGGAACAGACGCCUCCAGGUUCAGGGUCCAGCCUCUGGGCUCAGCAGAGGAUUCAAGUAUCCAGGAAAUCAAGGAGUGGAAAUGGGAGCGGCUCCCUUCACUACUGUCUCUGAUGUGGCUACAGUUGACUCCAGAAGAAACGAGCCGGAGAUUUGAAAGGCAAAAAUGAAGCACACUGAGCCUGGUGGGGGCUGGAGGCACCUGCUCUCAUCGCACAGGGAGGCUGAUCUAGUGGUGGACACGGGGCAGCCACUGAGCCCACACCAUAGCUGCACGAGGGACGGAAAACUGAAAUACAGGAAAGAAGCAAAUUUCACAUCUGAUAAGUGGGCAUGUUACUCAAGACUGCCAUGCGCCUGCCUCUUCAUGGUAAAAUGAAGCAGCCUCUGAGAGAAGUUCUGGAGAAGAUAUUUGAUACACACCUCAUCAUAUACCCCCAGCACCUGUUUUAUAACUGGAAGAUAAUUCCUCUUACCGCCUUCACUCCAUUCAUGCACCACCUCCACACAGCCACUUCUGGCAACAGUCUGUUCUCUGUAUGUAUGAGUUCAUUUUUUUUUUCCAUUCUGCUUGUAAGUGAGGUCAUACAAUAGUUGCAUUUCUCUGUCUGACUUAUUUUGCUUAGCAUAAUACCCUCAUGAUCCAUCCAGCCAUGUUGUUACAAAU